ACACAUGCAAGUCGAACGGUAGCACAGAGAGCUUGCUCUCGGGUGACGAGUGGCGGACGGGUGAGUAAUGUCUGGGAAACUGCCUGAUGGAGGGGGAUAACUACUGGAAACGGUAGCUAAUACCGCAUAACGUCGCAAGACCAAAGAGGGGGACCUUCGGGCCUCUUGCCAUCAGAUGUGCCCAGAUGGGAUUAGCUAGUAGGUGGGGUAAUGGCUCACCUAGGCGACGAUCCCUAGCUGGUCUGAGAGGAUGACCAGCCACACUGGAACUGAGACACGGUCCAGACUCCUACGGGAGGCAGCAGUGGGGAAUAUUGCACAAUGGGCGCAAGCCUGAUGCAGCCAUGCCGCGUGUAUGAAGAAGGCCUUCGGGUUGUAAAGUACUUUCAGCGGGGAGGAAGGUGUUGUGGUUAAUAACCGCAGCAAUUGACGUUACCCGCAGAAGAAGCACCGGCUAACUCCGUGCCAGCAGCCGCGGUAAUACGGAGGGUGCAAGCGUUAAUCGGAAUUACUGGGCGUAAAGCGCACGCAGGCGGUCUGUCAAGUCGGAUGUGAAAUCCCCGGGCUCAACCUGGGAACUGCAUUCGAAACUGGCAGGCUAGAGUCUUGUAGAGGGGGGUAGAAUUCCAGGUGUAGCGGUGAAAUGCGUAGAGAUCUGGAGGAAUACCGGUGGCGAAGGCGGCCCCCUGGACAAAGACUGACGCUCAGGUGCGAAAGCGUGGGGGAGCAAACAGGAUUAGAUACCCUGGUAGUCCACGCCGUAAACGAUGUCGACUUGGAGGUUGUGCCCUUGAGGCGUGGCUUCCGGAGCUAACGCGUUAAGUCGACCGCCUGGGGAGUACGGCCGCAAGGUUAAAACUCAAAUGAAUUGACGGGGGCCCGCACAAGCGGUGGAGCAUGUGGUUUAAUUCGAUGCAACGCGAAGAACCUUACCUACUCUUGACAUCCAGAGAACUUUCCAGAGAUGGAUUGGUGCCUUCGGGAACUCUGAGACAGGUGCUGCAUGGCUGUCGUCAGCUCGUGUUGUGAAAUGUUGGGUUAAGUCCCGCAACGAGCGCAACCCUUAUCCUUUGUUGCCAGCGGUNCGGCCGGGAACUCAAAGGAGACUGCCAGUGAUAAACUGGAGGAAGGUGGGGAUGACGUCAAGUCAUCAUGGCCCUUACGAGUAGGGCUACACACGUGCUACAAUGGCGCAUACAAAGAGAAGCGACCUCGCGAGAGCAAGCGGACCUCAUAAAGUGCGUCGUAGUCCGGAUUGGAGUCUGCAACUCGACUCCAUGAAGUCGGAAUCGCUAGUAAUCGUAGAUCAGAAUGCUACGGUGAAUACGUUCCCGGGCCUUGUACACACCGCCCGUCACACCAUGGGAGUGGGUUGCAAAAGAAGUAG
rnacentral:rRNA from 1 species